AUCCUUGGGAUUCCAAAACUGUCUGAGUCACUGGAACUAGGAACACCUGGUAGAAUCACGCCAUGCAAUUAGAUUUUCUUUUUGCUUUGCAUUUUCUUUCUUGUUACUCAUCUAUUUAUUUUAUUUAUUUUUAAGAGGGCUGCGAUUAGCCGCCUGACUGGGCGGAGUAGCUGGGGUGGGAAGAAAAAUAGCGGGACAACCCAAGAGAAAUCUCCAGGCUCUGCAGGGCUGGGGCUCCCUUCCUUUCCUCGGCCCCGGGGCCUCCUCUUCCUCUUCCGAACGUUUUCUUCCCUCUUUCCACCGUCCUCUCUUUUGGUUUAAAGUUCAGCGACUCUCGAAUUUCUUUCUGAGCGGAAACCGGACGCUUGGCGACCCGGGGCGGAGCGGCCCCAGCACAGCCCCAGCCUGAGCCAGACCCGCCUCCCUCGCCCUCCGGAAUCCCGGUGCCCGCCUCGGACCCCCGGGACCCGGAUGGGACUCUCCAUCCUCCCCAGGUGUGCUGGCGCUUGGUCUGGGGACCUGAACCACCGACCUCCUCUCCCAGACUCCAGAUUCGCUGCACAAAGUUUGGAGGAAAGGGGACCCCCACACACAUGUGUGGUUAGUGGCUUUGGGAACUCCCUGGAAGCCCCUACUUUAAAGAGGAGGCCAAACGUGCAGGGCCAGACAGAGCAGCAGAGAUAGAAGAGGCUUUGGCCACAGACUCCUUGCAGCGUGCAGCCGAAGGGAAGGGACGCAGAGGUGCCGAGGAAGUCAAGCUUUGCCGACUGGAGGGGAGCAGAAAAAUAUUUAUGGCCGCCGAGGAGUGGGGUGAGCGGCGGAGUUGGGCGGGAGCUCGCAGGCCCCGGAAAAGUUCUCUUCCUCUGGCCUUUUCAAAAAGUAGUGAGGGCUGAGGCGCCUUCAAUUUUUCUUCCCCGAGUUUGGAGCCAAGCGAUUUCCAUAAAGGAAGUGAAAACCGCGUCCAGGAAUCACUUUCUCCAGUUGGUGACCCAUUGGGUCUGAAAAGAGCCAGAGAGUUGCGCUAUCCACUGAGUCACACGCAAAGACUAGAGAUUCCUCCCCGCUUUCCUCGCAGUUGAGCAACACCGGAUGGAGGAGGACCCAGCACUGACCAACCCAAGAAGAUGGCGAUGAAACAAAAUUAAAUAAACCAGGUCGAAGCGCUGAGCGCUAAGCUGAGCGCUGGGUGCCCAGAGAGGACCGGCCUUGAGUCGCUGGCUGCCGGGGAGAUGGGCGCGGGUCGCUCAGUGGCUGGAGCCGGGGUUGCUCAAACCCCAGCCUGGGCCCUCUUCACUCUGUCCACUCCAAGGCCAGUUAGGGCUUCCCUAGUGAGAGGGGUUUGGGGCCCAAGAGAUGAGAAGUGUCGCAAGCCAGCUUUUGCUUUUUCAUUUUUUUCUCUUAGGCCUUUCCACCUGCCCAAGAGACUGACCUAGGGGCUUCUGGGCUGCUUGGGAGCUGCCACUGCCCCCCACCCACUCCUGCUGGACUGCCCAAAGUCUAGCGACCUCUAACCCUCCAUUGGGGAGGAAAUACCACCACCCCAGCACCUUAGCCCCCUGCCCUGUGUGGUGUGGCUCUCUUCAGGAACGGCUUACAAAGAAGAAAGAACAACUUGGAGCCCUGUUGACAUCUAGUUCUGAGGAUCCAUUUACAUCUGGAGAGUUUAUUUAUAACUCCCUCUAUAACUCUCUCUGUUUGGAGGCACUGGUGGCUCUAUUGACAGACGGAUGUCUACAAAAUAUUGCUCUAUCUCUAACCAUACCUAAAUGUGCUGUGGUUGUAUUUACAGAUUUAUGCUUGAGGAAAAUAUAAUUAUUUCCAUUGUAUUUGUGCAUAUACAACAGUUAUAGAAGCAGAUUUAUAUACAGGAAAAUAUACGACUCUCUUAUAGCCAUCUAGCUUUAUGGACAUUUGAUAUCCUGACAGAUUUAUAUCUCUGAGCAGCUAUAUAGAUAAAUGUAUAUCGUUAGAAUUAUGUAUCAAGAGAUAUAUACUUAUUGAUUGUGAUAUAAAGUGGUUAGAGCAUUCACUUAGAGCUGUAUAUGAUUAUGGAGAUAUUUCUGUAUUAUUAUCACUAUAUAUAGGCAUAUCUAUUUAUAAGCACAUAGUUAUAAAAAUAGACAUAAGUAAUUAUA